rnacentral:rRNA from 1 species
UACGUAGGUGGCAAGCGUUAUCCGGAAUUAUUGGGCGUAAAGAGCGCGCAGGUGGUUAAUUAAGUCUGAUGUGAAAGCCCACGGCUUAACCGUGGAGGGUCAUUGGAAACUGGUUGACUUGAGUGCAGAAGAGGGAAGUGGAAUUCCUAGUGUAGCGGUGAAAUGCGUAGAUAUUAGGAGGAACACCAGUGGCGAAGGCGGCUUGCUGGGCCUGUACUGACAUUGAGGCACGAAAGCGUGGGGAGCAAAUAGG